rnacentral:rRNA from 1 species
UACGGAGGGUGCAAGCGUUAUCCGGAUUCACUGGGUUUAAAGGGUGCGUAGGCGGGCAGGUAAGUCCGUGGUGAAAUCUCUGAGCUUAACUCAGAAACUGCCAUGGAUACUAUUUGUCUUGAAUAUUGUGGAGGUAAGCGGAAUAUGUCAUGUAGCGGUGAAAUGCUUAGAUAUGACAUAGAACACCCAUUGCGAAGGCAGCUUACUACACGAUCAUUGACGCUGAGGCACGAAAGCGUGGGGAGCAAACAGG